UUCGGUAUCCUGUGUUGCUUACCUAUCGAAAGGAAUCCGACGGUUUCGUUGGUCCCUCUCCGCCCCAUGCCCUCGUGGGUGGUGGGGUGGACGUCAGGCAAGCCUCGUGUUCCCGGCACGCCUCGCCCAGUUGCGUGGCUGCCGAGGCCCACGGGGCGCGUUGCCCGUGCUCUCGGAUGCGGAACGUUGUGCGCGGGCGUGGGGUCUUUUGGCUCCGUCGGCCCGAGCAACGCAUUUGUCCCUCGACACGAACGACCGUCGAACCCGUCUUGAGCACGUCUCAUGCGGGCGUCGGCGUCGCGAAGGAAUGCUACCUGGUUGAUCCUGCCAGUAGUCAUAUGCUUGUCUC
rnacentral:misc_RNA from 1 species